rnacentral:tRNA from 1 species
UCCCUGAUCGUAUAGCGGUCAGUACACGCGCCUGUCACGCGCGAGAGCAGGGUUCGAUUCCCUGUCAGGGAG